CGCGGCCUAUCAGCUUGUUGGUGGGGUAACGGCCUACCAAGGCAACGACGGGUAGCUGGUCUGAGAGGACGAUCAGCCACACUGGCACUGAGAUACGGGCCAGACUCCUACGGGAGGCAGCAGUGAGGAAUAUUGCGCAAUGGGCGAAAGCCUGACGCAGCGACGCCGCGUGGGGGAAGAAGGUUUUCGGAUUGUAAACCCCUUUUAGGAGGAAAGAUGGGGUGGGUUUCCACCCGGACGGUACCUCCAGAAAAAGCCACGGCUAACUUCGUGCCAGCAGCCGCGGUAAUACGAAGGUGGCGAGCGU
rnacentral:rRNA from 1 species